CCUACGGGUGACAGCAGUGAGGAAUAUUGGUCAAUGGGCGAGAGUCUGACCCAGCCAAGUCGCGUGAGGGAGUACUGCCCUAUGGGUUGUAAACUUCUUUUGUAGGGGAGUAAAAGCCGGACGUUUCCGGCUGUUAGAUUACCCGUAUAAAAACAAACAGCCACCUCCGACUCCGUACCAGCGGUAACACGUAGGUGGCGAGCGUUAUCCGGAUUGAUUGGGAGUAAAGGGACCGCAGGCGGUCCUGCAAGUCUGGAGUGAAAAGCAUGGGCUCAACAGAUGCAUGGCAUUGGAAACUGGGAGACUUGAGAGCAGGAGAGGACGGUGGAACUCCAUGUGUAGCGGUGAAAUGCGUAGAUAUAUGGAAGAACACCAGUGGCGAAGGCGGCCGACUGGCCUGUUGCUGACGCUGAGGCACGAAAGCGUGGGGAGCAAAUAGGAUUAGAUACCCCUGUAGUC
rnacentral:rRNA from 1 species